rnacentral:rRNA from 1 species
CCAAUAGCGUAUAUUAAAGUUGUUGCAGUUAAAAAGCUCGUAGUUGAAUUUCGAGACCGGUUUAUUGGUCGUGCUUUUGUACGUACUGGUAUUAUUGGUUUCUCCUUUCUGACGAAUCAUAAUGCCAUUAAUUUGGUGUUUUGGGGAAUCAGGACUGUUACUUUGAAAAAAUUAGAGUGUUUAAAGCAGGCUCACGCUUGAAUACAUUAGCAUGGAAUAACGGAAUAGGACGUUUGAUUCUAUUUUGUUGGUUUCUAGGAUCGACGUAAUGAUUAAUAGGGAUAGUUGGGGGCAUUAGUAUUCAAUUGUCAGAGGUGAAAUUCUUGGAUUUAUUGAAGACUAACUACUGCGAAAGCAUUUGCCAAGGAUGUUUUCAUUAAUCAAGAACGAAAGUUAGGGGAUCGAAGACGAUCAGAUACCGUCGUAGUCUUAACCAUAAACUAUGCCGACUAGGGAUCGGAUGAUGUUAAUUUUUUAAUGACUCAUUCGGCGCCUUACG